GUCGAGCGGCAGCGGGAAAGUAGCUUGCUACUUUUGCCGGCGAGCGGCGGACGGGUGAGUAAUGCCUGGGGAUCUGCCCAGUCGAGGGGGAUAACUMCUGGAAACGGUAGCUAAUACCGCAUACGCCCUACGGGGGAAAGCAGGGGACCUUCGGGCCUUGCGCGAUUGGAUGAACCCAGGUGGGAUUAGCUAGUUGGUGAGGUAAUGGCUCACCAAGGCGACGAUCCCUAGCUGGUCUGAGAGGAUGAUCAGCCACACUGGAACUGAGACACGGUCCAGACUCCUACGGGAGGCAGCAGUGGGGAAUAUUGCACAAUGGGGGAAACCCUGAUGCAGCCAUGCCGCGUGUGUGAAGAAGGCCUUCGGGUUGUAAAGCACUUUCAGCGAGGAGGAAAGGUUGGUAGCUAAUAACUGCCAGCUGUGACGUUACUCGCAGAAGAAGCACCGGCUAACUCCGUGCCAGCAGCCGCGGUAAURCGGAGGGUGCAAGCGUUAAUCGGAAUUACUGGGCGUAAAGCGCACGCAGGCGGUUGGAUAAGUUAGAUGUGAAAGCCCCGGGCUCAACCUGGGAAUUGCAUUUAAAACUGUCCAGCUAGAGUCUUGUAGAG
rnacentral:rRNA from 1 species